UGCAAGUCGAACGGUAACAGGAAGAAGCUUGCUUCUUUGCUGACGAGUGGCGGACGGGUGAGUAAUGUCUGGGAACUGCCUGAUGGAGGGGGAUAACUACUGGAAACGGUAGCUAAUACCGCAUAACGUCGCAAGACCAAAGAGGGGGACCUUCGGGCCUCUUGCCAUCGGAUGUGCCCAGAUGGGAUUAGCUAGUAGGUGGGGUAACGGCUCACCUAGGCGACGAUCCCUAGCUGGUCUGAGAGGAUGACCAGCCACACUGGAACUGAGACACGGUCCAGACUCCUACGGGAGGCAGCAGUGGGGAAUAUUGCACAAUGGGCGCAAGCCUGAUGCAGCCAUGCCGCGUGUAUGAAGAAGGCCUUCGGGUUGUAAAGUACUUUCAGCGGGGAGGAAGGGAGUAAAGUUAAUACCUUUGCUCAUUGACGUUACCCGCAGAAGAAGCACCGGCUAACUCCGUG
rnacentral:rRNA from 1 species